rnacentral:rRNA from 1 species
AUUGAACGCUGGCGGCAGGCCUAACACAUGCAAGUCGAGCGGCUGCAGGGAGCUUGCUCCUGGAUUCAGCGGCGGACGGGUGAGUAAUGCCUAGGAAUCUGCCUGGUAGUGGGGGAUAACGUGCGGAAACGGGCGCUAAUACCGCAUACGUCCUGAGGGAGAAAGUGGGGGAUCUUCGGACCUCACGCUAUCAGAUGAGCCUAGGUCGGAUUAGCUAGUUGGUGGGGUAAAGGCCUACCAAGGCGACGAUCCGUAACUGGUCUGAGAGGAUGAUCAGUCACACUGGAACUGAGACACGGUCCAGACUCCUACGGGAGGCAGCAGUGGGGAAUAUUGGACAAUGGGCGAAAGCCUGAUGCAGCCAUGCCGCGUGUGUGAAGAAGGUCUUCGGAUUGUAAAGCACUUUAAGUUGGGAAGAAGGGCAGUAAGUUAAUACCUUGCUGUUUUGACGUUACCAACAGAAUAAGCACCGGCUAACUUCGUG